rnacentral:rRNA from 1 species
AUGUUCGCCGCGCACCGGUGGCUGCUCGCGGCCCGGUCGCCGGUCUUGAGCGCGGAGCUCUUCGGCUCGAUGAGGGAGAGCGGCGCCGCCGGCGCGGUCCGCGUGGCCGACAUGGAGGCGCAGGUCUUCAAGGCGCUGCUCCGCUUCAUGUACACGGACUCAUGGCCGCUGGAGACGGUGGAAGAAGAGGAAUUCGCCAUGGCCCAGCAUCUGCUCGUGGCGGCUGAUAAGUACCGCAUGGAAAGGCUCAAGCUGAUCUGCGAGGACAAGCUGUGCAAGAACAUCGCGGCGGGCACGGCGGCGAGCAUCCUGGCGUUAGCUGAGGUGCACCACUGCCAUGAGCUCAAAGGUGCAUGCUUCCAUUUCCUUGGCUCUCCGAAGAACCUGACGGCAGCCAUGGCCGGCGACGACUUCGAGAAUCUGCGCUCAAGCUUCCCCUCUCUUGUCAAGGAGUUGAUUGCCAAGUGCUCGAUCGAUGCCUCAGUUCAGUGA